rnacentral:lncRNA from 1 species
GCAGUGGGCUCUGCCGCCGUCAAGAAACACUCCUGACCGUCAGCUGCGAUUUGUCUAUGGGGAUUGUUUGCCGGAGGGGAAUUGUGACAUGCAGGACUGUAACUGCUGAAAUCCUGAGAAAGAUGAUCAUUUGGAGAAGUUUAGGGUAAUCUUGCAGAAGGGCAGAGCAUCAGUUCUGCUCAGGUUUGCUGUGUGUUGGGAGCUUCUCCUCGGUCAUCCAUAGAAGAUAUGAAGCAUCCUGCCUUCUCUCCCACUGUGACAAGAGCCGUGCCCCGAGAGCUGUAGAUGGAAAUGUAGUUCAAACCACAGCAUGACCGUCCA